AGAGUUUGAUCAUGGCUCAGAUUGAACGCUGGCGGCAUGCCUUACACAUGCAAGUCGAACGGCAGCACGGGAGCAAUCCUGGUGGCGAGUGGCGAACGGGUGAGUAAUAUAUCGGAACGUGCCCAGUCGUGGGGGAUAACGCAGCGAAAGCUGUGCUAAUACCGCAUACGAUCUAUGGAUGAAAGCGGGGGACUCGCAAGAGCCUCGCGCGAUUGGAGCGGCCGAUAUCAGAUUAGCUAGUUGGCGGGGUAAAAGCCCACCAAGGCGACGAUCUGUAGCUGGUCUGAGAGGACGACCAGCCACACUGGAACUGAGACACGGUCCAGACUCCUACGGGAGGCAGCAGUGGGGAAUUUUGGACAAUGGGCGAAAGCCUGAUCCAGCAAUGCCGCGUGCAGGAUGAAGGCCUUCGGGUUGUAAACUGCUUUUGUACGGAACGAAACGGUCUGUCCUAAUACGAUGGGCUAAUGACGGUACCGUAAGAAUAAGCACCGGCUAACUACGUGCCAGCAGCCGCGGUAAUACGUAGGGUGCGAGCGUUAAUCGGAAUUACUGGGCGUAAAGCGUGCGCAGGCGGUUAUGUAAGACAGAUGUGAAAUCCCCGGGCUCAACCUGGGACCUGCAUUUGUGACUGCAUAGCUAGAGUACGGUAGAGGGGGAUGGAAUUCCGCGUGUAGCGGUGAAAUGCGUAGAUAUGCGGAGGAACACCGAUGGCGAAGGCAAUCCCCUGGACCUGUACUGACGCUCAUGCACGAAAGCGUGGGGAGCAAACAGGA
rnacentral:rRNA from 1 species